CCUACGGGUGGCUGCAGUGAGGAAUAUUGGUCAAUGGCCGUAAGGCUGAACCAGCCAAGUAGCGUGAGGGAAGACUGCCCUAUGGGUUGUAAACCUCUUUUAUGCGGGGAUAAAGGUGUCCACGUGUGGAUGUUUGCAGGUACCGCAUGAAUAAGGACCGGCUAAUUCCGUGCCAGCAGCCGCGGUAAUACGGAAGGUCCGGGCGUUAUCCGGAUUUAUUGGGUUUAAAGGGUGCGUAGGCGGGCUGUUAAGUCAGCGGUCAAAUGUCGGGGCUCAACCCCGGCCUGCCGUUGAAACUGGCGGCCUCGAGUGGGCGAGAAGUAUGCGGAAUGCGUGGUGUAGCGGUGAAAUGCAUAGAUAUCACGCAGAACUCCGAUUGCGAAGGCAGCAUACCGGCGCCCGACUGACGCUGAGGCACGAAAGCGUGGGUAUCGAACAGGAUUAGAUACCCGGGUAGUC
rnacentral:rRNA from 1 species